GACGAACGCUGGCGGCGUGCCUAAUACAUGCAAGUAGAACGCUGAAGAGAGGAGCUUGCUCUUCUUGGAUGAGUUGCGAACGGGUGAGUAACGCGUAGGUAACCUGCCUUGUGGCGGGGGAUAACUAUUGGAAACGAUAGCUAAUACCGCAUAACAAUGGAUGACACAUGUCAUUUAUUUGAAAGGGGCAAUUGCUCCACUACAAGAUGGACCUGCGUUGUAUUAGCUAGUAGGUGAGGUAACGGCUCACCUAGGCGACGAUACAUAGCCGACCUGAGAGGGUGAUCGGCCACACUGGGACUGAGACACGGCCCAGACUCCUACGGGAGGCAGCAGUAGGGAAUCUUCGGCAAUGGGGGCAACCCUGACCGAGCAACGCCGCGUGAGUGAAGAAGGUUUUCGGAUCGUAAAGCUCUGUUGUAAGUCAAGAACGAGUGUGAGAGUGGAAAGUUCACACUGUGACGGUAGCUUACCAGAAAGGGACGGCUAACUACGUG
rnacentral:rRNA from 1 species